rnacentral:rRNA from 1 species
UAAGAAUUUAAAAGUCGAACAGACUUAUCAUUAAGAAUACUGCUUCUUAAGAUUUUCUUAAUUCAACAUCGAGGUCGCAAAAUAUAAUAUAGAUGUGAACUCCCCAUUAAAAUUACGCUGUUAUCCCUAAGGUAACUUGAUCUUACUAUCCUUUAAUUUAAGGAUCUAAAAUUACAUAAACAAAUGAAUUUUAAAACUAAAGUUAAUUUAUUUAGUCACCACCCCAGCAAAAUAUAAUUUUAUAUUAAAAAAUAUCCAAAUAAAAAUCAAUAAUAUAUAAUUAUAUAAAGUUCUAUAGGGUCUUAUCGUCCCAAUAAAAUAAUAAAGCAUUUUAACUUUAAAUUUAAAUUUUAAUUUUUAAAGAAAUAAAACAUAAUUCUCAUACAUCCAUUCAUACAAGCUUUCAAUUAAAAAACUAAUUACUAUGCUACCUUUGCACAGUCAAAAUACUGCAGCCAUUUAGAAAUUUCAACCAUAGGGCAGAAGAUACUUUUUAUACAAUCA